rnacentral:sRNA from 1 species
CAACAACAAAAUGAGGACCUCAUUCUUUACAAUGCAGGCUCCCCAUGAAUUACUAACUGAUGGGUUACAAAGGAAGACAGCAUCUGAUAAAUGAUCAAAGGAAAUUUCAAGGAAGAGAAAUGCUUCUGACAUAGGAUAACCAUAAAAAGGUAUAAACUCAAGAAACAGAUGCCUUUUGUAGUGUGAAAGAACAACUCAAAGAGCAUUUUGCAUAAAUUCAAAGGUUUCAAUUUCUCAUUCCCUACCCAGAGAUGGAGAAUACAUUGAUACUGCAUUUCAAAUUGGCUAGAUCAGAAGGAACAGCAGCUAAAAUCCAUUACAACCCAAUUACACCCAUCAGCUGAAUCUGUGUGCAUUCAGUCGUGAACAUCAGCAUUUAACCCAUAAAGAGGAACUAAUGAGAAAUUUGAAAAUGGAAUCCAUGCAUCAGUAAGUUUGGAGAGAUUUUCCUUGGAUUAAUGAUCUGUCAGAGAACCUUCAGCGUGCUGGAAAGCCAUUCUCUUUCAGUUUGUUUACUG